rnacentral:rRNA from 1 species
UACGUAGGCAGCGAGCGUUGUUCGGAGUUACUGGGCGUAAAGGGUGUGUAGGCGGUUGUUUAAGUUUGGUGUGAAAUCUCCCGGCUCAACUGGGAGGGUGCGCCGAAUACUGAAUGACUUCGAGUGCGGGAGAGGAGAGUGGAAUUCCUGGUGUAGCGGUGAAAUGCGCAGAUAUCAGGAGGAACACCGGUGGCGAAGGCAGCUCGCUGGGACGGUACUGACGCUGAGGCGCGAAAGCGUGGGGAGCAAACAGG